rnacentral:tRNA from 11 species
GGGCGCAUAGCUCAAUGGCAGAGCACCACUCUUAUAAAGUGGCGGUUCUUGGUUCGAAUCCAAGUGCGCCCACAA